UAGGAAAAAGUACAGGCGCCAAAAUCUGCUCAACAUUUUAUUCCCCCACCCCCUUCUCCACUUCCAUGCCUUCCCCAAUAUUUCGGCUACUUGCAAUUAAAUCCCUUCCGUUGAAUUCAUACGUACACGUACGAGGCAAAAAUGUCCAUUUCCAAAUACGUCCCAAAGCUUGAUGUCUGGCCUUCACUUCAUUUUCCUUCUCCAUAGAAGCUAGGGUCAUUGUUUCCUUCCCAAACCAAUUCUGUGCCUCCAUUGGAAAUUGCCGAGGGGUUCUUGUGGGAUUUUCAAGUAUCAGAGGGCGAGCAUAUUCGACUGAGACUCUUGGAGUGAAUUCCUUCACGACGACACAGGUCCAUUUGCUGUCAGUGAUGAACACUUCAAUUAAAUACUUCCAAAUUCUUACGAUGCAAUCACUAUAAUGCUCAUGUUCUGGUUUUCACAUCAGCACCAGGUCAAGAAGGGUGUCUGGAUUAAUUAAACUGCACAUUGGUCUAACAACCUGGUGGAACCUGCAGUGAAGGUAACCACUACUACUCGAGCUAUACUAGCAAUCCUAUUGCUCCAACUGCUGCACACGGUCAUGUACUUGUUGGUGCUACUGUUUCAAGUGCUAAAAGAGAGAUUUUGAUCCAGAUAAGGAGGAGGCUGAGCCUGAGGAGACGGCUCCACUAGAGGAUUGAUUUGGAGUUUGGCUUGUUUUAUUUGGAACUUAUUUUUUGUCUUAAAAUUAUGUAUUUCAGAUUUGUGAUUUUAUUGGGACUUGUGAAAUUUUUUACGCUUGUUUUAAGCGAGUUUGUAUUUAAACAAAUUCUAGUACUUAGUUGAAAGACUUUUAUUACCCGUUGCGUUAUUUUUAGUAUACAUGUGUUACUUGUACACACACUUGGCACUUAGGAAUGUGAUGCGUGAUCCGUGUUGUCAUCAUCUCGAUAGCUCGAUUCUCAUGUUUCUAUACGUGGGAGUUGGGGGUGUCACAGCAGUGAUGCUUGUGGUAGGUUAGUAUGUUUAGGUUAAGUGGGGCCAUUGUCUUGGCAAGUGAACUUUAAGUAAGAGUAAUGUAACUUUCCUUCUUUAUUUGCUCAAGUAUGUUCA